rnacentral:rRNA from 1 species
AUACGUAGGGGGCGAGCGUUGUCCGGAAUGAUUGGGCGUAAAGGGCGCGUAGGCGGCGCGGUAAGUCUGGAGUGAAAGUCCUGCUUUCAAGGUGGGAAUUGCUUUGGAUACUGCCGCGCUUGAGUGCAGGAGAGGUUAUCGGAAUUCCCGGUGUAGCGGUGAAAUGCGUAGAGAUCGGGAGGAACACCAGUGGCGAAGGCGGGUAACUGGACUGCAACUGACGCUGAGGCGCGAAAGUGUGGGGAGCAAACAGGAUUAGAUACCCUGAUAGUCCACGCUGUAAACGAUGAGUGCUAGGUGUUGGGUAGCGAUACUCAGUGCCGUAGUAAACACAAUAAGCACUCCGCCUGGGGAGUACGUACGCAAGUAUGAAACUCAAAUGAAUUGACGGGG